UUCAAAUUUUGCAGCUUGAAGCUCUCUGUCUCCAGCUUCGGAACAAAGACGAGCAAACUUCCACCAACUUUUCGCCUUUCUUAACCUUGGUCCCAAUCAAAGGUAGGAAACUGAAGAAGUGUAGAUGUAAGCCUAUCAAGAGGAAGCCAGCUAAGGAUAAAUGCAAGAUAAACAUGUCUGCUGUAGCUUUUGCCUUGGGUUUGAGUCUUGCUGGUGCAGGUUUGCUACUUGGUUGGACCAUGAGAUGGUUAUUUCCAGCUCUCUAAACCAUCUUACAAUAUAACAUUCAUCACAACAAUCACUCUGUUCCACGGGUUUGCUAAAUUCAUAUAUGUAUAUUCCAUGUCUUUUCAUAUCAAUUACGUCGGAGAUAUUAUAUUGGAUGGUUAUUUCCUGCUCUCUAAACCAUCUUACAACAUAACAUUCAUCACAACAAUCACUCUGUUCCACGGGUUUGCUAGAUUCAUAUAUGUAUAUUCCAUGUCUUUUCAUAUCAAAUUACGUCGGAGAUAUAUUAUUCUACAUUGUACAUUAUAUAUACAAGUAUACAACAACUACGCCUCAAUCCCUAAGGCAUUCUGUAAAUAUAGUUGUGCUAGUUUCUUGUAUACAUGUUCUGUGUGUUUCAUAUCAGAAUCUUUGGAGGUUAUUCUAGUGGGUAGGAUUCUGCAGUUUGUGUAAAUAUAUUUGGGCUUAGCUUUGGAGGGGAGCCUUAGAGUAAUCGUAAAAAUUGCCGCAUUGUGAUUAGGAGGUUACGGGUUUAGGUCGCGAAAACAACCUCUUGCAGCCUUAGAGUAAUUGUAAGAGUUGCCGCCUUGUGAUUAGGAGGUUAUGGGUUCGAGUCGCGAAAACCUCUUGCACCAGGUUGCCCUUUAUAUUUGGGCUAGCUUUAAAUAGUACUCCCUCCGUUCUCUUUUACUUAGCAUGUAUACUAAAAGUAGAUGUUCAUUUUUACUUCUCGC
rnacentral:lncRNA from 1 species